rnacentral:RNase_P_RNA from 1 species
AGAGUAAAUUAUACAAUCGCAUGCAUAGCAUGAGGAAAGUCCGAGCUCCAUAGAGCAGGGUGCCGGGUAAUCCCCGGUGAGGGUGACCUUAAGGAUAGUGCAACAGAAAGAUACCGCCCCGCACUCAAUCUGUAAGAGAUUCAGUUUAUUAUUUAAGAUAUGUAAAUUAUAAAUUAAUAGUAUAGAGUCUUUUACAGAUUGAGUGCGGGGUAAGGAUGGAAAGGUGAGGUAAGAGCUCACCGGCAAUCAGGCGACUGAUUGGCCAUGUAAACCCCACCCGGAGCAAGACCAAGAAAGGACCUUGGAGUGGCUGCUCGUCACGGUCCAAAUGGUAGGUCGCUUGAGUUUGUCGGUAACGGCAAGCCUAGACAGAUGAUUGUUUAAUACAGAACUCGGCUUAUGUAUUUACUCACCAA